UACGAGGGGGCGAGCGUUGUUCGGAAUUAUUGGGCGUAAAGGGUGCGUAGGCGGGUCUUUUAAGUCAGAGGUGAAAUCCUGGAGCUCAACUCCAGAACUGCCUUCGAUACUGAGAAGCUCGAGUCCGGGAGAGGUGAGUGGAACUGCGAGUGUAGAGGUGAAAUUCGUAGAUAUUCGCAAGAACACCAGUGGCGAAGGCGGCUCACUGGCCCGGUACUGACGCUGAGGUGCG
rnacentral:rRNA from 1 species